CGGCUCUGUCCUCGACUGUACUCCAGAGGAGCCCCGGCGGCUCCCUCCCGCCCGGCCUCGCGCCGCCCGCCCGCCCCGCUCUGACGUCAGGCGCCUUGGAGCAGGAUAUUUAUGGCAAGGAUACUCUGAAUUUUCCCUAGUCAAAAGCAACCACCUCCUCCAUGAUUGCCAGCAUCCUUCGGAUAUGAUUCUUGGACAUGAGGCAGCCGUCUUGCAACCUUGAGAACAAAAGCCAUUUUCAGGAAAGUAGGAGAUUGAACACUAGACGACAUCCAUAAGUGGCUCCACCUUCUUCAGACUUCUUGUUCUAUAAGAAAAAGAACCCCCUGCAUGUUUGUUACCCUUGAGGCUUCUGCCAUUUAUGGCCAAAUGUAAUCUUACCUGAUACUCUCAUCAAUUCACCAAAAUAUUGGAACAGUUACUGAGCAUUAGCUUACCAAUGUGACAGUGGUCUUUAACAUGAUGACUUGCACUUGCUUAAUUCUUUGUAGUUUCCAAAACUUGUUCAUAUAUGUCUUCUCUGAACCUCA